rnacentral:rRNA from 1 species
GGUAACCUGCCCUUCAGUGGGGAUACCCAGCCGAAAGGUUGGCUAAUACCGCAUUCGCUCGGGAGCUGGAACGCUUUCGAGGGAAGAUUUAUCGCUGAAGGAGGGGCCUAGGCCCGAUUAGCUAGUUGGUGAGGUAAUGGCUCACCAAGGCGACGAUCGGUAGCUGGUCUGAGAGGACGAUCAGCCACACUGGAACUGAGACACGGCCCAG